rfam:Oryza nivara chromosome 11, whole genome shotgun sequence.
UCUCCGUCAAAAAAAAAGUCAAACCAAACGUAUAACUGUUCGUCUUAUAUAAAAUUUUUUUAUAAUUAGUAUUUUUAUUGUUGUUAGAUGAUAAAACAUGAUUAAUAUUUUAUACGUGACUUAUCUUUUUAAUUUUUUAAUAUUAUUUUUAAAUAAGACGGACGGUCAAACAUUAGACACGGAAAUCAGGGUUUGUCUUUUU